GCCCAUUUCCAAUCAAGAAAGUUUUCCACGGACAGAAAAUUUUCCGAAAAUAUCAUUGGAAAUUUUCAACUUCAAAAUUUUUUUCCGACGGAAAAUUUGUGUCGGCCAAUCACAUUUUACAAAAUUUUCUGUCCGUGGAAAUUUUUCUUGAGUGGAAAUGGGC